UCCCGUAAUCAAGUUUCCUGCUGGAGUGGGGCUGUUGAUUAUUGUCUAGCCCUGCCCAUGAUGACUGAUUGAAAGGACAUUACAAAAUAGACUACGUCAAUUCUCCACAAGUCAAAAUCAGAUCAACAGACAGGGACCUUCAGCCUUCUCUUGGGAAUAUGCCAGAUAAGCCAUAACAAGAAAAAAUGGUGUUUUGCCCCUGCGGUUGUGAAGAGGAUGCUGUGGAGGUGGCAGCAUGAACGUGUCACACAGACAUUGGCUGAACUACUCGGCUUCUACACUUGCCCUCAGAGUUCACAUAUGGUUAAGUGCACAGGUGUCCAUCCAGGUUCAUGCUGAUGCUGGUAACAAGAGGAAAACAUGCUGAUUGGUAAGUGAGAUCCCUGCUCAACAAAAAUCCACACAGCACAACAAGUAAGCCUAGUUUGUGGUAUCAAAUGUAAAAUGUAAGUUUCAUCAAAAAGUUGUAGAACACAUCUGAAUAAAUUGCAGGCCAUCAAAGUAGUGAAUGGGCAGGGAAAACACAACCAGUAGGCUUAUGAAUUACUUUGACUCAGC